GGUUCCGCCCCAUAUCCGAGAGCCGCUCUCUAAUUGGCUUGGGAAACCGUAUCUCAGCGCUUUGGCCUAGCGACUUUGAACGUGUUUGCGCCUGAGACCGAAGUGCAGAAGAGGGCGAGCGCAGGAGGAGAGGCUUGGUGAAUCAGCGAUUCCUGAUUGGCCAGGCGUGCCUUGAGGGCGGGGCCAGAACUGCGUCCUUAACUGACCUCGCCCUUGCCCGGCUCACCGCCUCCGCGUUGCUCCGGGUUUACCCCGCCUGACUCGCUGCGCUAUGCGUUCCCUCACGCCUGCCGGAUGCCAGGCCGCGAUGUGCCAGGCUCUGAGGGGCCGCGAGCUCACCCCAGACGCCGGCCCCGGGAAUCCUCUGCUCCUCCACUUUCCCUUCCCGCUACUGGUUUCUUGCCCACCCACUCCCAGGUGUCACUCUUGGGACAUCCAGAUGUUCUGACAUUUGACCUGACUCCAGCCUCAGCGCGAGGACGGGAGAAGGGCCAAGGAACCCAAAUCCUCAGAGCUGAUCGAGAAGCGCGUGUUGUUGCAGCAGUCACUGAGGGGCAGACCUGGAAUGUGAGCCGUGGGGCGAAGGGACAGCUCUGGAGACUCGUGAUUCUGGAACCCGGAUGAUCCAGAACAGACAAUGAAGAGACAAAACAGCGUGAAAGGGAGCGGCGGUACCUAAACUGACCUCCGGAGGGCAGCAUGAUCGAGGGAAGGAGCUGUUCUCGCUCCGCUCAAACCCCCGCGCAGCCUCUGCAGCUUACUCCUGCUUCGGAAGGCGGCGAGGUUCCACCCCCACCACCCCGGCCCCCGCCGCCCUCUUCGCGCUGAAGCUGCGGAGGGUCUUUUUCUUCAGCCCCCAAAUCCUCUGCUCUGUGGCUUAAGAUUCCCAGGCUUAAACCCAUAACUGCUAGGGUCAUCACUCCUCAAACUUCUCCCUCACUUGUUUUGCUGAUGACGGACACAGGGGCCUCACAGACUCAGAAGCAUCUGGAAUCAUUUCGAAGGACAGAACUGUGGCAAUAUCCUCUUUCCCCCUUCUAAUCUCUGAGAACAGUGUCUGUAUAUGGCACGGGGGUCCCUAGUGUCAUAUAGAAGGACUCGGAGAUGUCCUCAUGGGCUGUAACGGCCCCCGGUGCUAUUCAGGGAUCUCUGUUCUUUAAAGAAAUAUCAUUUCCCCUUAUUUCUCUACCUUUGUGCCCUCACCUCGCCCUGAAUUGUUUCUUAAACUGGGCUUUCUGGGAAACGUUUACUUCGUGUUCAACAGCAAAGUCUCGGCAUAAGGCGAGGGCGGCAGGGGGUGGGGGGCGGGCGUUUGCUCGCCUUGGCAUUAAUUUCAGAGCUGCUGAACGUGGACAAAAGAGAGGGAACAUCCUCCUUUCUUCCAUUCCUGUAAAUAUGGACCCACCUACCCUCCACUUAAGAUGGGUGGCUUUUCUGAUUUUAAGAUAUCAAGCAGCCUGGCAAGGUGGCUGACACCUGGGAUCCCAGAACUUUGGGAAGCCGAGGCGGGAAGAUCCCUUAAGGCCAGGAGUUCUAGACCAGCCUGGCCAACAUGGCGAAAACCCAUCUCUACUAAAAAUACAAAAAUUAGCCUGGUGUGGUGGUGCCUGCCUAUAAUCCCAGCUACUAGGGUGGCUGAGUCAGGAGAGUCGCUUGAACCUGGGAGGCGGAGGUUGUAAUGAGCCGAGAUGGCCACUGCACUCCAGCCUGGGUGACAGUGAGACUCUGUCUCAAAAAUAAUAAUAAUAAUAAUAAUAAUAAUAAGAUAUAAAUUGGCUGGGCUUUAAAAUAAAGUAGUCAGAGGCCCAGGGUGGUGACUCAUGCCUGUAAUCCUUUUGGAAGGCAGAGGCCAGAGGAUCUUGAGCGCAGGAGUUUGAGACUAGCCUGGGCAACAUAGGGAGACCCAUCUCUACCAGAAAAAAAAAAAAAAAAAAAGCAAAAA